rnacentral:rRNA from 1 species
GGCGAACUGGUGAGUAACGCGUAGGAAUCUACCUAGUAGAAGGGGAUAGCCCGAGGAAACUCGGAUUAAUACCGUAUACGUCCUUAGGGAGAAAGAGGGCUUAGCUUUGAUGCUCUCGCUAUUAGAUGAGCCUGCGUAAGAUUAGCUAGUUGGUGAGGUAAAGGCUCACCAAGGCGACGAUCUUUAGCUGGUCUGAGAGGACGAUCAGCCACAUUGGGACUGAGACACGGCCCAGACUCCUACGGGAGGCAGCAGUGGGGAAUAUUGGACAAUGGGCGCAAGCCUGAUCCAGCCAUACCGCGUGUGUGAAGAAGGCCUUCGGGUUGUAAAGCACUUUAAGUAAGGAAGAAAAGAGUAUUGUUAAUACCAAUACUCCGUGACAUUACUUACAGAAUAAGGACCGGCUAAUUCCGUGCCAGCAGCCGCGGUAAUACGGAAGGUCCAAGCGUUAAUCGGAAUUACUGGGCGUAAAGCGCGCGUAGGUGGUUUAUUAAGUUGGGUGUGAAAGCCCCGGGCUCAACCUGGGAACUGCAUCCAAAACUGAUUCACUAGAGUACGAAAGAGGAAAGUAGAAUUCACAGUGUAGCGGUGGAAUGCGUAGAUAUUGUGAAGAAUACCGAUGGCGAAGGCAGCUUUCUGGUUCUGUACUGACACUGAGGUGCGAAAGCGUGGGUAGCGAACAGGAUUAGAUACCCUGGUAGUCCACGCCGUANACGAUGACAACUAGCUGUUGGGAAGCUAUGCUUUUCAGUGGCGCAGCUAACGUCUUAAGUUGUC